CCUCCGGCCCACCUGGCGGCCCAGUGGUCGCCUUCGGUCUGGGACCGGCCCUCCGGGGGUUUCCCCCAACGCGGCCUCACCCCUCUGUCCGCUCUCACCGGACGCGGCUCUUGUUGCGGGCGGAAUGGGGGGGGGGGGCACCCAGUAGGCUGUGUGCCCAGCAGUGUGAUGGGCGCGCGGUGCUGGUGCACCUCGGCAUCCCUUUUUGGGACCGGAGGAGAUGUAACUUGUUUACUUUUCGGCUUCUCGUCUCCAGGAGCCAAGGCGAAGAAAGUAGUAUCACGUAAGUGCUUGAACUGUUUCUGUGAAGAUAGGUUGGCUGCCAGCUCAGCCUGUAUGUGCCACCUACUUACUGGUUUCACUCAGUGUGGCAAUUCUUGGACGCUGCUCGGAGAGAAGUGGCCCUACUGGUCCAUCCUGGACAGAAAUGAGUUCCCAGAGCCUCAGAUCACAUUAACAAGCUAGAAGUCAAGGCCUCUUGGUUUCUGGAGCGACACGAUUAGGAGGCUGGGAAUGCGUGGUGGGUGGCUUCUGCCUUGGACACUUUGCAUGGCCUGGUACAAAAUCCCUGUCCUAGACAUGGGGCUGUGGGUAAAGCCAUUCCUAUUUUUUUGAAUCUGGCCCUAUGGAAAUUAGAAACAUUUUUUUAAAGACGUCUUAUGAAAACAAGAAUCCACUGUAAAUUACAGACCCUUUUCCAGAUCUCGCUAACAUUUCAUUUUUCUUCACUGGUAAUGUCGAGUGAACACCUAAUAUUUCUCUCAAAUGAAAAAUACCUGAUUUAUAAUUUUGCUUAUCUAGAUACUAAGCAGUCACACUUUAUAGCUAAAUUUUCUCUCUAGAUUGUUUUGUGUGAGUGUGUGUGUGUGUGUGUGUGUGUGUGUGUGUGUGUGUGUAGCUGUGAUUUUGACAUUUCCUUAUUUAGGAUAUGGGAAAUGCCAUCAGUCAACAGAGAUCUGUUUAGUCAUUUUGGUUGUCUCUUUAGUAGAUACUCUUUUUCAUUAGGAACUGGACCCCACUCUUACCUUCUGGUCAUGUUGCUGGUGAUUUGUUGAUCGUUAUUAAUGGCUUGAAGAUUUGCGAUUUCUUCUAUUUAAUAAACUAUAGCUAGUGUGAGUUCUUUUUGAUUUUUGUGGUGACAGAUAACUUUUAAAAAAUACGUGGUUGUUUAGUAUUUGGGGUCAUAAAGCAUCAUGAAAUUUUAAAUAGUUCCUACUUAUUUUUUUCUUCAAAAUGAAUUUAUUUGCUAGAUUUUUCUUUUUAUUAGUCUGCAUGUUGGGGCCUAUUUUCAGUAGAACAAAGGUAAAAUUUGAUGUUAUAAAAUAAUUUGUUACUUUCAUGUGUAUCUGCUUGCUGUAAUUUAUGACCAAAUAAUGUGUUGUUACUUAAGAAGGACCACAUAAGUGGUAUAACCUGUUUGAAUUUCCCUGAAGUCAUGGGCAGGAAUGAGUGUUUGGAGUGGGUAGAUGGCAUAGGCAAUCACUGAGCAAGAGUAAUUAUUAUGCCUUUACUUAAAAUCUUUUUGGCUUCUAUUUACCAAUAAAGAUUAACUCUUACUUAACAAUAAUAUCACAAAGAUCUUCCACCAGGUUGAAAGGUACAGCAUAAUGUGUUAAGAACACAUUUUUGGAUUUGUAAUUGAACUUUAUUGUCUGCAUAGUAUCAAAUUGGAUAUAAAAUCUAGUUCACCGGGGCGCCUAGGUGGCUCACUUGGUUGAGUCUGACUUUGGCUCAGGUCAGGAUCUCACAAGUUCAUGAGUUUGAGCCCCACAUCAGGCUCUGUGCUGACAGCUCCCAGCUGGAGCCUGCUUCAGAUUCUGUGUCUCCCUCUCUCUCUCUGCCACUCCCCUGGCUCAUGCUCUGACUCUAUUUCAAAAAUAAAUAAACAUUAAAAAAAAAUCUAGUUCACCAACUCUGGGGUGAUUAAUGGAAUAAGCUUUACUUUUUCUUACUCAGUUCUAAGACAGUUGUGUGUUGCCUAAUGGAAGUAGCAGAGUAUCCUUACCAUUGAAACCAUGGCUGUGGGAUGUUCUGAUCUGCCCUGCACUGAAGACCUCUGGGCUUUAAAGUUUUCUGGUAGCCUGGGAAUUCUUAUUGAUUUUUGUGAUAACCUAGGCUAGUAGAUCUUGCCCUUUAACACUCCAGCCUGUCAUCUGGCUGCGUGAAGACUUCUUCAGCCACAUUCACACAGACCUUUAUCACCGCAGCUUUUGGGUAACUGCAACGAUUUUUACCGGUUUUAUUUUCAGAUCAUAGUCUGUCCUACAUGUAGAUAUGAGAGCAAUACGUACAUCAGUUAGUGUUUUCUUCAUGUUCUUCUUCUGUCAUCCAGGUAUUUGUAAUAGUUCCUAUAAUGUUAAAUAUAAAAUCAGUCUUGUCAGGUUUACCGUCUUCUUCAAAUUGAUCUCAUUAGUCCCCCAAUUUAGUCUUCCACUUGAAAUUUGUUUGCUGUAUCUCUUAAUACUCUCCUUUUUGUCUGUGUAAUUUCCUACAAUUAAAAUGGCAUUAAUUGAUUUAAUAAUCUCUCUAGGGAAGAUGUUCCUAAUUCUCUUAGUCCUGUUAUCAUUAACAUUUGUGUAUUCAAAUGUACCAUGUCAUGUUGUAUUCACUGCAUUGUAUUUUUUUUUUUAUUUUGAUUGUCAUAGGGCAGGAUUCAUACUUAGUACAGAAUUUUGCCCAGUGGGCUUUAAAUAAAUGUCUAUUUCAUGAAUGAAUGAACCAUGUUUUUAUUUCUUUUGUCUUUUAAACAGUACUCAGCUUUUAAAUCAAGAAGCUUUUAUUUUUAUUUUUUUAUAAUUUAUUUAUUUAUUUACAUCCAAGUUAGUUAGCAUAUAAUGCAACAAUGAUUUCAAGAAUAGAUUCCUUAAUGCCCCUUACCCAUUUAGCUCAUCCCCCUCUCCCACAACCUCUCCAGCAACCUUCUGUUUGUUCUCUAUAUUUAAGAGUCUCUUACGUUUUGUCCUCCUCCCUGUUUUUAUAUUAUUUUUGCUUCCCUUCCCUUAUGUUCAUCUGUUCUGUGUCUUAAAGUCCUCACAGGAGUGAAGUCAUGAUUUUUGUCUUUCUCUGACCAAAUUCGCUUAGCAUAAUACCUCUAGUUCCAUUCACGUAGUUGCAAAUGGCAAGAUUUCAUUCUUUUUGAUUGCCAAAUAAUACCUCAUUGUAUAUAUAUACCACACCUUCUUUAUCCAUUCAUCCAUCAAUGGACGUUUGGGCUCUUUCCAUACUUUGGCUAUUGUUGAUACUGCUGCUAUAAACAUUGGGGUGCAUGUGCCCCUUUGAAACAACAUACCUGUAUUCCUUAGAUAAAUACCUAGCAGUGCAGUUGCUGGGUCGUAGCGUAGUUAUAUUUUUUAUUUUUUGUGGAACUUCAUACUGUUUUCCAGAGUGGCUGCACCAGUUUGCAUUCCCACCAGCAGUGCAAAAGAGAUCCUCUUUCUCCGCAUCCUCACCAACAUCUGUUGUUGCCUGAGUUGUUAAUGUUAGCCAUUCUGACAGGUGUAAGGGUAUCUCAUUGUGUUUUUGAUUUGUAUUUCCCCAAUGAUGAGUGAUGUUGAGCAUUUUUUCAUGUGUCGGUUGGCCAUCUGGAUGUCUUCUUUGGAGAAGUGUCUAUUCAUGUCUUUUGCCCAUUUCUUCACUGGGUUAUUUGUGUUUUGGGUGUUGAAUUUGAUAAGUUCUUUAUAGAUUUUAGAUACUAACCCUUUAUCUGAUAGGUCCUUUGCAAAUAUCUUCUCCCAUUCUUUCGGUUACCUUUUAGUUUCCUUCGCUGUGCAGAAGCUUUUUAUUUUGAUGAGGUCCCAAUAGUUCAUUUUUGCUUUUGUUUCCCUUGCCUGCAGAGAUGUGUUCAGUAAGAAGUUGCUGCGGCCGAGGUCAAAGAGGCUUUUGCCUGCUUUUCCUCUAGGCUUUUGAUGGCUCCCUGUCUUGCGUUCAGGUCUUUCAUCCAUUUUGAGUUUAUUUUUGUGUAUGGUAUAAGAAAGUGGUCCAGGUUAAUUUUUCUGCAUGUUGCUCUCCAGUUUUCCCAGCACCAUUUGCUGAAGACACUGUCGUUAUUCCAUUGGAUAUUCUUUCCUAUAAAGCAAGAAGCUUUUAGAGUGGUCGUUUGAACAUUAUUUUGACAUUUAUGUCCUUUUUAUUAUAGUUUUUUGAAAGUAAAUUUGCAUUUAAGUCUAAAGCUCAGUUGCCUAUACAUUAUACAAAGUAUAAUGGAAUAUAGGAGAAUAGUUGGAAUUUGGUUUAAGCCUGACCAUCCCUGAAGUUUUAAUUGCUUGCUAGAUAACCUUAAAGGGGUGAUUAGUCUUGGUAAACUCAAGGUUAACAGUAGAUAUGAUCCAAGUUAAAAAAAUAAAACCUUGUGAAAACUUAAGAGAAAUUAAGAUCUUUCUUCAUUGGUAAUAAUGUAUGAUUCUCACUAUUUGCUUUUACUCAAAUUACAUCACUCCAGGUAGUAUUUCAUCAUAGUAUUUGGGAAAGUACUUCUGCCUCAUGCUUCUGAGGUUCAGUAUGUUUCUCUGCACAGCCCAAACUAUUUUUGAGGUGCUUGUCUUUGUGUUAUGUGCACUUUUCUAAUUUAAUGUUUAAUGUUUAUGAUUUUCAAGGAUGCCUUCUGGUUUUGAUGAGUUGUAUUUCAAAUUUUUUCUCAGGAAUUUUCAUGAGACUAGUGUUUCAUAAAUAACUCUUCAAAAGUAAAAUUCUACACACAAAAUCACUUAUUUUUCAUUUCUAAAUUUAUUAGUUCACUUUAUACCAUUCCUCUAGCAAUGGUAGAAAACACUAAUUGCUAGUUCUGCCAUAAUUGUGCUUACAUGGUUUCUAUGUCUUUAAGAUUAAAUAAUGUACAUGACCUGUAAAUCUCCAAAAGAUACCACUUUUUAAUAUUUUAGGCAUUUUAAUCCAGUUUAAGAUAGUGAUGUAUCAAAGUCAGUUUCGGUCAGCAUCAUUAACUUUUCUAUCUAAAAAGUGAGCUUCUGGGCAAGUGCAUUUGUAGAUGUUUGUGUCCUGGCAUGUCAAGACCUAGUUGGAUGUGUUGUAGAGAAAAGAGACAAGUAAGUCUCAUGGUUAUGAAGGAAAGAUACAUUGAACCUCCUCUUUUUCUUCAAUGUAAAUUAUACCACGACAAAUCAUUCAGAAAUUUUUAUCUAUAACAGUUCUCUGAAGUUGCCUCAACAGUAUGGGAAACUGAUGUAUUAUUUAAUGUGGAAUCCCACUGAUACAAAUGCCAUUGUAUUGUGGGUGGAUAACCAUAUGCCUCUACAGCUGAUACCUUGCUGCACUUGAAACAACGGUGGUAGUGUAGGGGAGCGCAAAAACAAAUACACUCAAAUGAGUAGAAAGAGGAGAAAGAGGAGUUUGACCUGAGGACUUUUGAGACUGGUGAUAUGGAGUAUAAGAAAAUACUGAAGAAAGUCUAAGAAGUUUUGUUUUUGUGUUAUAAUUUCCUUCUAGCUUUUGGGCAAGUAUGAGAAAUGUAAUGGAAUGGAAUGAACGUUCUAAGGCAUUGUAUUUAGAAAGCGAAAGCCCCAAUUCUUCCAUUUAGCAGCUGUGAGAUUUUAAGUGAGCUUUUCUUAACUAAUUUCAGUUACUAUCCUUAUAAAAUAAAGUGAUAAUUUCAUUCAUUUAUUAUUUUUUUAUGUAGAAAAUAUUUGUUCAGAACCCAGUAUAUACUAGGUAAUGUUGUGGUUGAGAGAAUAUUGCAAUGAAUAAGAUUCUUGUGAGUGCACUUAGAUUUCUGUUGUAAUGUGAUUUCUGUCUUGCCUGUUCAAUCACAUACUGAAAAGAUUUGAGAUAGUGAAUAUUAAUUUUUUCUAAAUUAUACAUUCAAAAACAGUAGGUUUUUUUAGUACAUCCUAAUAUUAAUAUAGUACUUUUGAAUAGAAAGUCUGAGCUCAUAGCUGGAGCAAUUAUAAAGAAUUCUCCUUUUAGUGUACUAAUCCUCUUCCCUUGAAUUUUCUAUGACAAGAUUAUGUUCCUUCUUUAUUUUAUAGUAAAAACAAAAACCUAUCUUCUCUUUAUGGGAGAGACAUUUAUGUUUUACCCUCAAAUUCAUAUAAUUGAGCUUGACUGACAUCACAUGACCUUUGCAGUCUUUCAUACAGUUUCACAGAAUGCCAGGUAUAGGUUAAAAUAUAUAUUUGUGAAGACAAAGAAAAAGGAAAGCUCUUUGCUUCUCAGGACUCUGUUAGAAGCAUGUGAAGGCUUGGAAGUAUGAAAGAACAUGGCUUGUUAGAGAAAGGUAGAGGUAUGCUUUGGUCAUUAAAGUUAUUGGGAGAAGAGGGAGUGAAUUGCAGAGACAGGAAAUUUACAAGUUCCAGUGGUGUGAAACCAGCCUUUACUUGAGUCUGGCUUUGGAAAUAGUCUGUUACUCUGACAAAACAAAUAUUUGACUAUUUCCAAUGGUUUUCAAAACUGACGUGACCAAAUACUGUGAUAGACUUAAGACUGAUUGAUUUGUUACUUCAUUAUGUUAUUGAACCAACUCAACCAACUUGGACAGUAUAUAGAUCCGGAAUAAAUCAUGAAAUACAUUACAGUUAGAACAAAUUUGGAAAUGUUUCCAACCUAAAUGUUUAGGAAAUUUUCUUAGACAUGGGACCUAAAUGUAAAAUGUGGAUGUUUCUAUUCUUAAAAUGAUAUUUAAAAUAUCUUAUGGCUUAUAUGUUAAUUUUUACGUGUUUUUAGCUUUAUGUAUAUAAAGUAGUACAUUUUAAAACAAAGGAUUAUUGUUGUCUUAAGUGAAUUUAGAGAAUUUAAAGCCUCAGCAUUUUCCCUCAGGCCUUAAAAAUAUAUCUAAGUUAGCCAUCAACUAAAUUGUUAGAUACUUGAGGCCUUUGAGUUUAAACAGAGGGGAGAGACAUUAUGGCUUUAAGUUUCUACAGUUUGAUCUGGGUAGCUUGGGAAGUCAAUAUAAUGGUGAAUAAUAGUCUUGGGGCACCUGGGUGGCUCAGUAGGUUAAGCCUCCUAUUUUGGCUCAGGUCAUGAUGUCAUAGCUUGUGAGUUUGAAGCCCCGCGUCAGGCUCUGUGUUCACAGCUCAGAGCCUGAAGCCUGCUUUGGAUUCUGUGUCUCCCUCUCUCUCUGCCCCUAACCCACUCACAUUCUGUCUGUGUCUCUCUCAAAAAUAAAUAAACAUUAGAAAAAAUGAGUAAUAGUCUCAAACACAUGGAAAUAUAACUGUUAGAGCUUUAUACUAAUAAACCCUAGAUCUAAAGCACUAAGUUUAUUUUUCUUAUCAGGUAAUGUUGAGUAAUAAUAUCAGCAAAAGUAUUUACAUGUUCAUCUGAAUGUUCAUAAUUGCAUUAUCAGGAUCCCUGGAGCAGUUAAAUUCUAAACUGCUUCAUGAAGACCUGGAAAUCUGGAGACUGAAGGAGUCCUGACUCCAUGACAGUAUUAGGGCUAGGCCCCUUAAGCUUAGAAUAUAUUUAAUACAUUCGAAUUAUCUAUUCAGAGUCUUCUAAGAUAUUUUAAAACUUUUUUGAUUGUGACACAGUACACAUAUAUAAUACAUGUAUAAGCAUAAUGUUGUGGGCUGAAUUGUGCCCUACCAAGAGUCAUGUAUUGAUUUAUCCACUGUCUCAGAAUGCAAUUGCAUUUGGAAUUAAUACCUUUAAAGAGGUAAUUAAGUUAAAAUCAGGUCUUUAGGGUGGACCUUAAUUCAAUAUGGCUGAUAGCCUUAUAAGAAAAGGAAAGACCAUGUGAAUACAAAGAGAGAAGUCAAUAAGAAAAGUCUCAGAAUGUAAGCAACCCUACCAGCAUCUUGAUCUUGGACUUAACAGCCUUCAGAACUGUGAGAAAAUAAAUUUCUGUUGUUUUAGUUACUUAGUCUGGUACUUUGUUAUGGCAGCCUUAGCAAACUAAUACAUAUUGUAAUGGAAACAAAAUGUCAUAAUACAAUAUUUUGCUGUGUUUAGUGCACACUAGUAGUACUUAUCAUAUUUCAGUUUUUAAGAAAUGUGAGUCACAACCCAUAGUUUAAAAAAAUUUUGCUUUAUGACUUCUUUAAGUAGUGCAUUCACAUACCUGGGAAGUUACUAGAAAGUAACUUUCUUUUCUGUGUGUUAGUGUUGCACAUAUGGGUCUCUAGUUUGCCUUGGCAGUACUGGUCAAGCCCCCUUUUGUUUUUCUGUCUACAUGUCCAAAUUGAGGUAUCUUUUGAAACAAUAAUCUUGAAAUGAUGAGAAUGUUUUGGUUACUAAUAGUGGCAAGUCUUGGUUAGUUGGCCAAAAUAUAAGUCCUUACUCGAGUGCUCAGAGCCAGGAAGAAACUGUGACUUGAUCAUAAAGGUCUUCUUCGAAUUUCUGCAUGUAAAACUAGUUUCACAAGAUUUAUCUGGUGCCUAUCAUUCAGUUCAAUAUUAACUAUUGGUGAGAUAGCCAGGCAGUCAUGAGACCUUUUAAGAAUGUAGUAACCAGCAUGUAUUUAAUCCUUAUCAGAAUUAUGGAUGCCAUAGAUCAGCCUUCUGGGCUAAAGGUGAAAAUUUUCUGCUUCUAUCCCUCAUCAGUGUCAGUAAAUAUAAAUGAGAAUAACUCCUCUAUUAAUAGAAUUGUUUUCGGAUUGUUCCACAAAGCAGAAGCAAACUAUGCUAUAGAUAAGAGAUACAUUGAAAACAAAAUGCUAUGGAAAGACUAAAAAUAAAGACGUUGGAAAAUGCAACCAGCAGGAAAUCAGGGUUAUACCUGACAUCAGACAGUGUAGAGUCUAUAUCAAAAAGCAUUAAGUGAGACAAAAGACUCUUUAUAAUUCUGAAAAGUACAAUUUUGAAUAAAGUUAAAAAAGUAAGGAAUAUCUAUGCAUCAAAUAACACAGCAGUCACCCUCAUAAAAAAGACCCUACAGAACACGCAGAGAGGAAUAAACACUAAUACUAGCAGACUUUAACAUAUUUCUCUCAGUGCAGGUCACACCAAAGGUAAAAAACUGUUUCCAUAUAUGAAUUCCUCAAAUUUCUAAAGAAAUUUGUUUUGCCAGAUAAUGAGAAAAUUCACUUGAGAAAUUGGGAAAAUGGAAAAGAGUAUUAUUAUAACUUCCCUUUGAGAAUUAAAGCUUAAUAAAUAACACAGAGACAUUACUGGUUUGAAAGAUCCAAUGAUAGAAGUCAAAAAGAAGAGCUGGAAAUGGUGACAUACAAAGAGGUUAAAACUGACAUUUCCCUAUCUUCAUAGGAACAUGUAGGUGAGAGAUUGUAAUGAUCUAAUUAAUUUUGCUUGUAGCUCUUGCCAUUUUCUGGUAAUAGAUCUCUUAAUUUCUGUGUUUAGACCAUUUACAUUUAAUGGAAUUAUGUGUUUGGAUUUCUGUCUACUAUUUUAUUAUUAGGUGUUUAUUCCCUCUGUUUUUCAUCUCUUUAUUUCUCCCUUUCCUGUUUGAAUAUUUUAUUCCAUUUUAUCUUUGACUUUUUGACAAUAUCUUUUUAUAGGCUGGUUUUGGUACUUUCUGUAAGAAUUAUACUAUAUAGGAGCAUCUGUGUGGCUCAGUCAGUUAAGCGUCCAACUUCAGCUCAGGUCAUGAUCUCACAGUUUGUGAGUUUGAACCCCACUUCAGGCUCUGUGCUGACAGCUCGGAGCCUGGAGCCUGCUUCAGAUUCUGUGUGUCUCUCUCUCUCUGACCCUCCCCCACUCACAUUCUAUCUCUCUCUCUCUCUCAAGAAUAAAUAAACAUUAAAAAAAAUUAAAAAAAAAGAAUUAUACUAUAUAUAAUUUUUCAGUCUACUUGAAAUGACCAUUUUAUCAGUUCAGUUGGAAUGUUCAUACCUUAUCAUCAUUUGUCUAAUUACUUUCCUUUGAUUAUGUUAUAGUUGUUAUAUCCACUUACAUCUCCAUACAUACAUUACAUAAAAAUUUUUAAAUUGAGAUAUAAUUGACACAUAACAUUAAAUUAGCUUCAGGUAUACAAUAUAAUGAGUUGAUAUUUGUGUAUAUUGUGAAAUGAUCACCAUAAUAAGUCUAGCUAACAUCUGCCACCAUACAGUUAUAAAAAAAUUUCUUCUUGUGAUGAGAAUUUUAAAGAUUUAUUCUCUUAGCAACUUUGUAAAUAUGCAAUGCAGUAUUAUUAACUAUACUCACCAUGCUAUAUGUACAUUCAUCCCUAUGACUUACUUAUUUUAUGACUGUAUGUUUGUACUUUUUUAAUACCUUCGUCCAUUUCCUCCACCCAUCUACUUCCCACCUCUGGCAACCACCAAUCCUUUUCUGUAUCUAUGAGCUUAUUUUUUGUUUUUGUUUUUGUUUUCUUUUUAGAUUCCACAUAUAAGUAAGAUCAUAUACAGUGUUUGUUUUUCUCUGACUUUAUUUCACUUAGCACAAUGCUGUCAAGAUCCAUCCAUGUUGUUGCAAAUAGUGAGAUUUCCCUCUUUUUUUUAGUAUGGCCAAAUUAUAUUUUAUAUAUAUAUAUAUAUACAUAUAUAUGUACACACUCACACACACACACACACACACACACACACACACACACCACGUUUUCUUUAUUCAUUCAUCCGUUGAUGGACUUUUAGGUUGUUUCCAUAUCUUGGCAAUUGCAAAUAAUGCUGUAGUGAACAUGGGGGUACAUAUAUCCUUUCCAUGUUGUUUUUUUCUUUUCCUCAGAUAAAAACCCAGAGGUAGAAUUGCUAGAUCAUAUGGUAGUUCUAUUUUUAAUUGUUUGAGGAAACUCCAUAUUGUUUUCCACAGUGGAUAUACCUAUUUACAUUCCCACCAAGAGUGUGGGAGAAAAAGUUCAUCAAAAACCUCCAAAAAAGGGAAACUUGGGGCGCCUGGGUGGCACAGUCGGUUAAGCGUCCGACUUCAGCCAGGUCACGAUCUCGCGGGCCAGGAGUUCGAGCCCCGCGUCGGGUUCUGGGCUGAUGGCUCAGAGCCUGGAGCCUGUUUCCGAUUUUGUGUCUCCCUCUCUCUCUGCCCCUCCCCCGUUCAUGCUCUGUCUCUCUCUGUCCCAAAAAUAAAUAAACGUUGAAAAAAAAAAUUAAAAAGAAAACAAAACAAAACAGGGAAACUUUUUUCCCAUAUCCUCACCAAUACUUGUAUUUCUUGUUUUUUUGAGAAUAGCCAUUCUAACAGGUGUGAAGUGAUAUCUUGUGGUUUUGAUUUGCAUUUUCCUGAUGAUUGCGGAUACUGAGUUUCCUUUCAUGUGUCUGUUGGCCAUCUGUGUAUCUUCUUUGGAAAAAUGUCUAUUCAGAUCCUUUGCCCAUUUUAGUUGGAUUGUUUGUUUUGCUACUGAAUUCUUAUGAAAAAUAUUUUUGAUGUAAUAAUGUAAUGUUUAUUAUUUUGAUUUUAACUGUCAUACAUAUUUCAAAGAAUUUAAGAGGGAAAGGAUAAUCUGUUACAGUUACCCAGAUGGUUGUCAUUUAGGUUAUCUUCAGGUAUCAUUUCCUUUCUAUGUAAAAAAUGUCCUUUAGCAUUUCUUUUAGAGCAGGUUUGCUGGAGACUGCUUGUCUUCAUUUUCCUUCAUCUGAGAAUGUCUUUAUUUCACUUUCUUUCCUGAGGGGUAUUUUCACCAGUUAUAGAAUUUUGGGUUGACACUUCUUUACCUUCAGCAUGUUAAAAAUGCCAUUCCUCUUCCCUCUGGCCUCCCUUGUUUCUGAUGAGAAACUUGUAGUCAUCCGAAUUGUUACAUAUGUAUGCAAUGAGUAGGUUGGUUUUUCUCUGGCAUCUUUAAAGAUGUUUUCUUUUUUCUAGUUUUCAGCAUUUUGAAAUAAUUUUUCUGGAUUUAGAUUUUUUUCGAUUAUCUUCUUGGGGUUUGUUGAGCUUCUUGAAUUUGUAAUUUUAUAUCUGGUGCCAAAAUUGAUAAAUGUUUAGCCGUUAUUUCUACAAAUAUUUUUUCUUUCUCCUCUCCUUUUGGCAUUCUGUUGAUAAAAAUGUUAGGUUUUUUGAUAUUGUCCCACAGGUCCCUGAGGCUCUGACUUUUUCUUUUCCAGUUUUUUUUCUUUGUUUUUCAGAUUGGUUGAUCCAUCUUCAAGUUUACUGACCCUUUUCUCUUGUAUCUCCAUUCUGUUCUUGAGCCCAUCCUAUGAAUAUUUUUAGUUAUUAUAUUUUUCAGUUCUAAAAUUUCCACUUGGUUCUUUAUAGCUUUAAUUUGUUCACCAAGACUGUUUUUUUCCAUUCAUUUCAAAAGAUUUUGCCCUUAUGCUUUGGGGUUUGGUUACAAUAACUGUUUUUAAAUCUUUGAUAACUCCAUUCUCUGUGUUGUCAUUGAUUUUUCUUUUUCCUUUGAAAGUUAACAUUUGCCUGUUUCUUCAUAUGCAGAGUGUUGCAUGUAUCCUGGACAUUUGCAUUGUAGGUUUUGGUUAAAUCCCAAAGGGAAUACAGUUCUUUUUAGUUUUUGCAGUCAGUCAAACUGGUUAGGUGAGUUCAUAAGUUGGACCCUUGUUUUAUGGAUCGUGGUUCCAAUGUUCCAUUUUCAUAGCCACUUUGUAGUGCUAUUUGGUUCUGUUCAUCGUGUGUACUGCCCAAAGGUCAGUGUAGGAUCCAUACAGCGGUUUAUACCAUAGUUUAGUUCUCAUAUCUUUUGUGAGACUGUUUAAGAUCAGGUCUCUACAUGCAUAGCUCAGAGGUGAGCCCAGGAGUUCAUAUACAACUUUAUGGGAUUGUUCUCUUGAGUUCCCUUCUUUCUAUGAUCUCACUGAUACUUUUUGUCUCCUUGAGGCCCCCUUUCCAGCCCACUAGCCGGAAAACUGGACCUGUAGUUUCCUUGCUCUGUAGUAUACUUCUUCUACCUGCAUUUGCAUUUAGGGCCAAGUGACUGGAAGACAAAGAAAAAUGCAACAGACAUUUAAUCCAUGAUCUUGGGACCAUUGCUUCUCUGGCUAAAAAGAAUGAUUUUCCUAUCUUACAAUUUUAGACAUCUGCAGUGGUCAUGCUCCUGCCCCCCACUGUGGGAUUCACAGGGGGCUGGGGCUGGAGAGAAUGGAAAAUAAGAAUGGAUUUCCCUC